AUUGAACGCUGGCGGCAGGCCUAACACAUGCAAGUCGAGCGGAUGAAGGGAGCUUGCUCCUGGAUUCAGCGGCGGACGGGUGAGUAAUGCCUAGGAAUCUGACUGGUAGUGGGGGAUAACGUCCGGACACGGGCGCUAAUAUCGCAUACGUCCUGAGGGAGAAAGUGGGGGAUCUUCGGACCUCACGCGCUCAGAUGAGCCUAGGACGGAUUAGCUAGUUGGUGAGGUAACGGCCUACCAUGGCGACGUUCCGAAACUGGUCUGAGAGGAUGAUCAGCCACCCUGGAACUGAGACACGGUCCUGACUCCUACGGGAGGCAGCAGUGGGGAAUAUUGGACCAAGGGCGAAAGCCUGACCCAGCCAUGCCGCGUGUGUGAAGAAGGUCUUCGGAUCGUAAAGCACUUUUAGUUGGGAGGAAGAACUGUAUGUUAAUACCUUGCUGUUUUGACGUUACCAACAGAAUAAGCACCGGCUAACUUCGUG
rnacentral:rRNA from 1 species